ensembl:lncRNA LINC01255 long intergenic non-protein coding RNA 1255
GGCUUGCAGGUCCAAACCACUGGUAGCAGCCCCUGGUAUAUCCAGGACAUCAGCACAUAGAACCAGUGAAAGGGUCCUCCCUCAUAGUGACGCAUGUCAUAGACUCAGAUUUAUACAAACAAAUGCUGAGCAAACCAUGAAGAGUCUCUGGUAUUUUCAACAAUAUCAUCACAGAGGAACUGUAUUGAUUUCCUUAUACGGGGUCUCCCUAUGUUGCUUAGGCUGGUCUUGAGCUCCUAGCCUCAAGUCAUUCUCUUACCUUGGCCUCCCAAAGUGCUGGGAUUACAGGUGUGAGCCAUGGUGCCUGGCGACCUCACCAUUUUUGCUGACUGAAUCACUUGACUAACCUAACUAUAGCUUGCUGCUGAAGAUGCUGGCAACCUAGUAGACAAUACGUCAAGAUGUGAGGAUGCUCCAUAGUAAUGUAAUACCUUCCAUUCAACCAAGGUUAAAAGUGUCAACUAAAUGCUAAUGUCUCCACCAACCACAGAUGGGGUUUGCAGGAGCAAUGGCUGUAGGGACACUAAGAUUUCACCCUCCAGAAGACAGCAUCUUCCUGUGCCAUGGCUAGAUCACCAGCUACCCACAGACAGCCUGAACUCCAAUUGUCUUCCUGCACAUGUGCCUUUAAAGGUUUUACUGGCAUUAUUGCUUUUUUACUUCUGGAACUUUUCAAAUGUAGAGGAGCCUUUAGAAGGAAGCCUUGAGCAUGAGGACAGACCCCCCUCAUCCAACCACCACCUGACUCUGUGUGAACCUGGAACUGUUAGAAUGUCUGUGCUGUGAUAAAAGGUCAUCUCCCUACAAUGUUAUGAUACAGACCUCAAACCUACAAACAUGAGGAACUUCUGCCUCCAGGUUAACUGCUUACCCACUGUACAAGACACGUUACACACAGUCCAGGAGGCGGAGCUUCUGAGAUAUCUAGAAACAGCUUAGAGGCAAAAUGACAAAAUAAAGCAGCAACAACAAAUAAAACCAAUCUUCUCGAACUG